rnacentral:rRNA from 1 species
ACGGCGAGUGAAGCGGGAAGAGCUCAAGCUUAAAAUCUCCACGCAAGUGGCGAAUUGUAGUCUAUUGAAGCUGUUGUCAGCAUAGCGACUUGGGAAAAGUCCCUUGGAAGAGGGCAGCAUAGAGGGUGAUACUCCCGUCUCUGCCCAAGUUGUCUGUGUGUACGAUACGCUUUCUUUGAGUCGAGUUGUUUGGGAAUACAGCUCAAAGUAGGUGGUAAAUUCCAUCUAAAGCUAAAUAUUGGUGCGAGACCGAUAGCGAACAAGUACCGUGAGGGAAAGAUGAAAAGAACUUUGAAAAGAGAGUUAAAGAGUACCUGAAACUGUUGAAAGGGAACCGUAUCGUGUCUAGUGUGUAUCCUGUGCAUAUUUCACUGGCGGUCGCAAGAUUGCUGGUGCCCUGUGCAUGGGUGUGACGUCAGAGUCAGUUUGUGCUGCGGGAGAUGGCUAGUGAGGAGGUGCGUCCCUUUUGGGAAAGUUACAGCUCGCUAGCUAGUAGCCGUGGCGUAGACUGAGGUGCCUACAACACGCUCUGGGGUCUUUUGUUGUCUCGUGUGGGUUGUUGCCUGGAUAGCUUGCUAUGCUGGUGAUAAUGUAUGCGAUUGAUGGCAGGAGCAACCUCUGCUG